CAGUGGGGAAUUUUGGACAAUGGGCGCAAGCCUGAUCCAGCAAUGCCGCGUGUGUGAAGAAGGCCUUCGGGUUGUAAAGCACUUUUGUCCGGAAAGAAAACUUCCUGGUUAAUACCCGGGGAGGAUGACGGUACCGGAAGAAUAAGCACCGGCUAACUACGUGCCAGCAGCCGCGGUAAUACGUAGGGUGCAAGCGUUAAUCGGAAUUACUGGGCGUAAAGCGUGCGCAGGCGGUUCGUUAAGACAGAUGUGAAAUCCCCGGGCUUAACCUGGGAACUGCAUUUGUGACUGGCGGACUGGAGUAUGGCAGAGGGGGGUAGAAUUCCACGUGUAGCAGUGAAAUGCGUAGAGAUGUGGAGGAAUACCGAUGGCGAAGGCAGCCCCCUGGGCCAAUACUGACGCUCAGC
rnacentral:rRNA from 1 species